rnacentral:lncRNA from 1 species
AAGACACAGAACCCGACGCAAGAGCAUGGGACCCGACUUACCAUCGUUUCCCCGACACUGCGCCGGAUGACAUUGGACUAAAUGCAUCUAUGGAAGCCCGACUACCGAACCUUUACCAGGUUCGGUCGGUUCCCGACUCAACAGACGUGCCCGACUAACGGCUUCGACUAUUGGAAGCCGACCUAAAGUCGGAACGCACU